rnacentral:rRNA from 1 species
CAGUCGCCGCGGUAAUACGAAGGGUGCAAGCGUUACUCGGAAUUACUGGGCGUAAAGCGUGCGUAGGUGGUGGUUUAAGUCCGUUGUGAAAGCCCUGGGCUCAACCUGGGAAUUGCAGUGGAUACUGGGUCACUAGAGUGUGGUAGAGGAUAGUGGAAUUUCCGGUGUAGCAGUGAAAUGCGUAGAGAUCGGGAGGAACAUCAGUGGCGAAGGCGGCCAUCUGGGACAACACUGACGCUGAGGCACGAAAGCGUGGGGAGCAAACAGGAUUAGAUACCCCUGUAGUCCCUGUCUCUUAUAC